rnacentral:rRNA from 1 species
AGCAGCCGCGGUAAUUCCAGCUCCAAUAGCGUAUAUUAAAGUUGUUGCAGUUAAAAAGCUCGUAGUUGAAUUUCGGGAUCAGUAUGUUGGUCGUGCUUCGGUACGUACUGUCAUUACUGGUUUCUACCUUCUGAAGAACCUCGAUGUCAUUAAUUUGGCGUCGUGGGAAAUCAGGACUGUUACUUUGAAAAAAUUAGAGUGUUUAAAGCAAGCUCGCGCUUGAAUACAUUAGCAUGGAAUAAUGAAAUAGGACGUUUGAUUCUAUUUUGUUGGUUUCUAGGAUCGACGUAAUGAUUAAUAGGGAUAGUUGGGGGCAU